rnacentral:rRNA from 1 species
UGCAGUCGAACGAUGACUUCUGUGCUUGCACAGAAUGAUUAGUGGCGAACGGGUGAGUAACACGUGAGUAACCUGCCCUUGACUUCGGGAUAAGCCUGGGAAACCGGGUCUAAUACCGGAUACGACCUCCUGGCGCAUGCCAUGGGGGUGGAAAGCUUUAUGCGGUUUUGGAUGGACUCGCGGCCUAUCAGCUUGUUGGCGGGGUAAUGGCCCACCAAGGCGACGACGGGUAGCCGGCCUGAGAGGGUGACCGGCCACACUGGGACUGAGACACGGCCCAGACUCCUACGGGAGGCAGCAGUGGGGAAUAUUGCACAAUGGGCGAAAGCCUGAUGCAGCGACGCCGCGUGAGGGACGAAUGCCUUCGGGUUGUAAACCUCUUUCAGCAGGGAAGAAGCGAAAGUGACGGUACCUGCAGAAGAAGCGCCGGCUAACUACGUGCCAGCAGCCGCGGUAAUACGUAGGGCGCAAGCGUUAUCCGGAAUUAUUGGGCGUAAAGAGCUCGUAGGCGGUUUGUCGCGUCUGCUGUGAAAGCCCGGGGCUCAACCCCGGGUCUGCAGUGGGUACGGGCAGACUAGAGUGCAGUAGGGGAGACUGGAAUUCCUGGUGUAGCGGUGAAAUGCGCAGAUAUCAGGAGGAACACCGAUGGCGAAGGCAGGUCUCUGGGCUGUAACUGACGCUGAGGAGCGAAAGCAUGGGGAGCGAACAGGAUUAGAUACCCUGGUAGUCCAUGCCGUAAACGUUGGGCACUAGGUGUGGGGGACAUUCCACGUUUUCCGCGCCGUAGCUAACGCAUUAAGUGCCCCGCCUGGGGAGUACGGCCGCAAGGCUAAAACUCAAAGGAAUUGACGGGGGCCCGCACAAGCGGCGGAGCAUGCGGAUUAAUUCGAUGCAACGCGAAGAACCUUACCNAAGGCUUGACAUGAACCGGUAAGACCUGGNAACAGGUCCCCCACUUGUGGGCC